GAUUCGGAACGCUCCAACUCCAACCGCGCACUCCGGGAAGCCUCGCCACCCCCGGCGCCGCCGGGCGGCCCAGCCCCGUCUCCAAGGACACGGGACCCCGGUGCUCGGGCUCCCACGGGGCGCCAGGACCGGCCCUCUGGGAAAGUUCGCGGGCACAGCCCGAGGCCCCACUUUCCGCCCAGAGUGACAGGCCCUUCCCACGCCGGCCGGCCCCCGCCCAGCCGCGGGGACCAGACAGUCCGCGCGGCCCCUCCCGGCCGCCUCGGGGCGCGGAUUCCUCCCGCCCGCCCCACCCCCGGCCGGGGCGCCCCUCGGGGUGACCGACUGACCGGAGCUACGCUGGCCCGCACACCGGGUCGCCCGCUCCUUCCCGCCGCGCCCCGCUCCCCCGCCCGAGCUUCCAGCCGCCAGGCUCGCCGAGUCCGGCCGCGGCCGCCGGUUACCGCCCCCAGCCCGGGGGGAGCCCGGGGGGCAGGACGGGGAGGGAGGACGUGGCGCGCACCGAGGUGGCCAGCGGCGAGGCGGGGAGUGUCCCGGAGAGGCCCGGCCGGGGGCGGGGGGCCGGCGCAGCUCCCGGGGCUGCGGGCCCGGGACCCUCCCCGCCAGCAUCCCCGGGUCGGAGGUCCCGGCCCGCCCCCGCCUGGCGCGGGGAGGCAGCCCCAACUUGCAGCCCCACUUCGCACGCCCGCCCUCCUCCCUCCACCAUAUGGAAAUCUACAGCCUCAGAAAGUGACACGUCGAAGAUUCCUCGGCCUCUCCGCCCGCCCUCCCCCUCCCGGGCAGCGUUCCUGCCGCGGAGAUUCCGGGAGGGGGAGCGGAUUCCUCGGACAAAAUCUGCUGGGAAGGCUAGGGAGGGCGAGGGGGGGAGGGAGAGCCCGGAACCACUGCCCAGAUUUUUUUUUCAUCAAGAAGAAUCUACCCGUUUCUUUCCCUCCUCCAAGCCCUGGCAAGCUGGGGGGACGGGCGGGGGACCGGAGCCCCGUGGGACGCGGCCCCAGAGCGGAGGCCGACCCCCUCCGGGCCCCGUGUUCCCGGGGUGCCCAGGCGAGCGCGGGGCGCCCCAGCACUCUGGCGCCAAGUUUUCCCCGGGAAGCCCGGCGCGCUCGGGACGGGAACGCACUCUGGCGGACUCGGCGUCCGGCCGGGGGCUUUCCAGCGCGCCGGGAGCCGGCGGCCAGCGCGCGGGGUCCCGGUCCCCUCCAGGCUCGCGUUCCUGCACACCUUACCUUCCCUCGGGCUGAAACGCGGGGCUCCGGGCGCGCCCCACACCGGGUCGCCCACGCCUUCCCUGCCGGCAGCCCCGAGGAGCCCUGCCGCCCCCUUCGCUGCUCCCGCCGCCGCUCGCCUCCACCUCCGCCGCCUCCGCCUUCUCCGGCCGCCGCCGCCGCCGCCGCCUCUCAAAUAACUACCAGGAGGGUUUGA
rnacentral:lncRNA from 1 species